AUUGAACGCUGGCGGCAGGCCUAACACAUGCAAGUCGAGCGAGCGGCGGACGGGUGAGUAAUGUAUGGGGACUGCCCGAUAGAGGGGGAUAACUACUGGAAACGGUGGCUAAUACCGCAUACUGUCGGCUAAACCAAAUGGGAUUAGCUAGUAGGUAAGGGAAUGGCUUACCUAGGCGACGAUCCCUAGCUGGUCUGAGAGGAUGAUCAGCCACACUGGGAGUUAGACACUGCCCAGAGCCCUACGGAGGCAGCAGUGGGGAAGUUUGCACAAUGGGCGCAAGCCUGAUGCAGCCAUGCCGCGUGUAUGAAGAAGGCCCUAGGGUUGUAAAGUACUUUCAGUCGGGAGGCGUUACCGACAGAAGAAGCACCGGCUAACUCCGUGCCAGCAGCCGCGGUAAUUC
rnacentral:rRNA from 1 species